GGGCGUAUGGCGCAGAGGUAGCGCGUUUGUUUCGCACUGUUUCGCACUGUCUAGCAUACAAAAGGUCUUGGGUUCAAAUCCCAAUUCGUCCA